rnacentral:rRNA from 1 species
GAUGAACGCUAGCUACAGGCUUAACACAUGCAUGUCGAGGGGUAACGAGGAGAGAGCUUGCUUUUUCCGUCGACGACCGGCGCACGGGUGAGUCACGCGUAUCCAACCUACCUUCAGCUAAGGAACAGCCCGUCGAAAGGCGGAUUAAUACCUUAUGUUGUUUCAUGAUGCCAUAAGAAAGAACCGAAAGAUUUAUCGGCUGAGGAUGGGGAUGCGUCUGAUGAGAUUGUUGGCGGGGCAACGGCCCACCAAGUCAUCGAUCAGUAGGGGUUCUGAGAGGAAGGUCCCCCACAUUGGAACUGAGACACGGUCCAAACUCCUACGGGAGGCAGCAGUGAGGAAUAUUGGUCAAUGGGCGAGAGCCUGAACCAGCCAAGUAGCGUGCAGGAUGACGGCCCUAUGGGUUGUAAACUGCUUUUACACGGGGAUAAAGUGGUCGACGUGUCGUCCAUUGCAGGUACCGUGCGAAUAAGGACCGGCUAAUUCCGUGCCAGCCGCCGCUGUAAGAC